rnacentral:rRNA from 1 species
AUGGCGGCCGCGGCAGCGAAGGUGGUAGUGCUGCUCCUGUUGGUCAUGCAAAUCCUCAGCAUCAUCGUCGGCGCGGCGAGGCCAUUGGAGGGAGAUCACGGGUGGACCGGGAACGGGAUCGAAACGGUGACGGAGAUGCUCAGCGCCGCUAAGUCACGGUCCAGCACCCGCACGCACUGCUGCUGA